rnacentral:rRNA from 1 species
GAUGAACGCUGGCGGCGUGCUUAAUACAUGCAAGUCGAACGGGGAGUAGCAAUACUUCUAGUGGCGAACGGGUGAGUAACGCGUGGGUGACCUGCCCCGAAGCGUGGGAUAACAGUUCGAAAGGACUGCUAAUACCGCAUGCAGUUUCAGGGAUUAGAAGCCUGAAACAAAAGGAGCAAUCCGCUUUGGGAGGGACCUGCGUCCCAUCAGCUAGUUGGUAAGGUAGUGGCUUACCAAGGCGACGACGGGUAGGGGACCUGAGAGGGUGACCCCCCACACUGGCACUGAAACACGGGCCAGACACCUACGGGUGGCAG